CUCCGCAUAAUUUUCAUGGUAUUUCCCUGAACUGUCAACACGGGGCCACCUGUAACUGCUUCACCAUUUAUUUGCCAUACAAGGCAAUCACCUGCCUGUGGCUGGCAUAAAUCCAUGACGCAGUCAUGAGCCCUGGGGACUUUCCCCUUGGCUCUCAGCAUCACUCAUGCUGCACCACAGGUACUUCCACCCAUAUAGAAGGUGAACUAUGUGCUACAAUGAGAAGAACACAGGAGCCUAUCAAAAACACAAGCAAAGCAACGACCUUUGUGCCAUUGCAGGAAUCAACAUGAUUGCAGAGCAGUCUUGCUGCUGCAGGACUACACGAGGAUACAACAGGAGACUUUUAAUUUGGUUUAUCAGCAGGUCAUAUGAAUUUCAGCAAAGUGUUCCAGUCUACCUCAUCUUUUUUUUUUUUUUUUUCAUUUUUAGAAAAUAAAUCAGACUUCAUAACAUAGGCAAGAUGUUAUGAGAAACGCCCCUGAGUUCUGGGCUGGAAGUCCUAACGGCGCAAUAUUAGGUGGCUGAUCUUUGAACUGGUCUCCCAUUAAAAGUGAACUGGGGAAGAACAUGGACUUCAUCUGCCAACUUGACCACCUGAUGGAGCUUUUUUGAUGGCCUUGGGUCUGAAAAUCACCAUGUCUCUGGAAAGGAGAAGGCUGGAGCACCCCUCCUACGAAGAGAGGCUGACGGAGCUGGGCUUGCUCAGCCUGGAGAAGAGAAGGCUCCAGAGAGACCUCACUGUGUUCAGCCAGUACUUAAAGGGAGAUUAUAAACAGGAGGGGAAUGAACUUUUAAAACAGGCCCCUCCAGAGCACAACAUUGAUGCCAAGACCACAAAUGGAAGCCACAAGGAGGAAAAUGAUAAGCAUCUUUGCAUUUCCUGGCACUCAGGCUGCCUCAGCAAGGAAUUCAUUCCCUGCCUGAACUGCUCAGCAGUAUGCACACCAUUUUACAUAGAGAAAUGGGACUGGAGGAGGAACGUAGCCCACAGAGUGCUUCAGUAUGAUGCCAUCCCCCACCUGAGCUGUUUCUGCAUCUGGCCAUCAAAGCUCUUGUCAUGUGGACGAAAUCUUGAGACACAUUCAAGACGAUUUACUAUUCUGCUCUACAAAUUGGAUAUUUACAGGCCUGGGUUGAACAUCUAUAUUCCUCUACCCAGAGGUAGCACAUAUUGACCCAAUUUCUGUGCUUAAUACUAUGCUGUAAAUCCAGACCAACUUCACAUAUUUCAGCAGAUUUACUUCAAGGUGACUGAGAUUAGAACAUGACGUAGAGAAAUAUGUUGCUUCAGCCACAACUAUCUUUUCACUUGUUGGUUUAACACCCCUGUGCUGCUUAAUUAGGGGAAUGCUUCAGAUCUGAUCUUAAACAAACCAAUAAACCCAAAGCAAUAACCACCUUAUCUACUUCACUCCGACCUUCGCUGAAAGGCCUCCUCAGCCUUCACCUCAUAAUUUUAUGCUGACUGUGGGGAACAUCCUAGAGCCAGAAGGAGAUCAGAGAGGACAGCACCAUAUCUCCCAGUUACUACCUUUGGCCAGGCUUUUGCUCAUUGCACUCCUCGAGUUACUUGCUUUUUCUUGCCUUUUAUAUGAUUUUGAAAGGCAAACAGCAACACGUUUUGUUUCCAGACACUAACAUACUUUAAAGUUUGCACUCAACCCGUAGGAUUUGCAGGGCAACAGUCGUCAUCACUGUCGCCAUCGUCAAAGUGUCCUGGAAACCCAUUCCUGUAGAGACGGCAAGGCAGAAAGGGUUCAGCAUGGCAGUAGAUGGCGCUGAAGACCUUGGAGCACACCAAGGAGCCUUGGAUGACCCACACGUCUUCCGAGGCCUCUCAAGGAGCCUUUUCCCCCUCUGUUCCUUUGCUUUCCGAAAGAGCAACCACCACACAGGGACGCGAGAAGACCUUCCCAAUGAAAUUUGGGCCACUGGAGCUCAGUGCAGAGCAGGCUAAUCUUAGAGAAACUCUUAGUAGAUGGGGGAUCACACACUGUGGAUGAGAGUUACUGGCUCUAACAGGGAGCGUGAAAAUGGCAGCAAACCAUGCACCAUGGAACAGCCCUCUUUCUGGGUAGGUGUAGUGCCUUCUCCAACACUUUGCUACUCCCUCAUUUGCAGAGUUCAGCAUGGUUGCAGAGAGCUGAUGGCCUUCUUUCUCUGAUUGCAAUAAUCUCCCCAGACGCAAUUACAUUUAUAGCUUCACAGGUGUGUCUGCAAUUACAGAAGUGCUGCAAGUCAGCUCCAAGCCACUGUCUGUCACUGUUACCACGAGACUGCUGGGAACAUGUGACUACCUGUACCGUGAGAUUUCAGGUCAUCUGAACCUUCAUUCUUUCUCUUAUCUGAUAGAACAUGUCGUAUCUUAUGUGUAGCUCAAUGAAUCUGAAAAAAUAUUACCUUGACCUCCCUGACUUCCUUGUCUGUUCUUCCUGGUUUCAGGGGAAAAGUAGAAGAAAAUAAUUCCUUGGUCUUUUAUGGAGCAAAGGAUGUACAUACGUUAUAUCCAGUAGAAUGCUAAACUAUAUGGUGCACUGGCUUUGGGAUUACAUUGGUUUCCUAGGUGAGAAAUGCAGAUUUGUGUCAUUCCAGUGAUGGGUGGUUCUGACACUCUCCAGAGUUGCCUGACUCCAGCUCCCUAUCCAGUCAAUGGAGUUGAUGGUGUCAGUGGUAAAAAGAUGUUCAUAUCACCUCCAUCUAAAGUAGAGAUCACAUCUACUGCUUUCACAGCAAGCCAGGCAUCACCCACCUUUCUCUUACACUGCAAUGGGGGCACUGAAGCAUGUUGCAGGAUCUGCAGUGGGAAAUCUCAACUAAGGUUUGUGUCUUCUUAGUAAAUUGCUG
ensembl:lncRNA